ensembl:lncRNA
AGGGCAGAAGAUUAGUUUAGUAUCUCCCAGUGUGAGGUCCCUGUUAGGCCGGUUCACAUCUGAUGGAGCCCCUUCACAACCUCAGCUGACUGCCUUCAAAGGAGGGUCCAUCUUGUUCCAAGAACGCUCCUUUCUGUGCCCCAGCCCUUCCUGGGCUUGAAUAUGCAAAGAUGGAUGAAAUUGAGGUUCAGAGAGGUUAGGUAACUCUCCUGUGAUCACACAGCUGAUACUUCUCCCAGAGCUAGGCCAUCUGGAAGAAGGACUCUUGAAUUGAACUACUGCACCAUUUUGCCUCUUAAGGAAGAGAGAUGUAAAAAGGCAGAUGAAGAAAAGAGCCAGGACGAGGCUGGAGAACUGCGGGAGGUAAGGGCCCCAAGAAAACUUCACAAGGGUGGGCUGACCGAAGAACUUUUAAGAACAGGAUUGUCCAAUGUCCAUUCGAAGUUGUUUUCAUUGUCGCACUUGAAACCACCCCUGUGACUUCCCUAAAUCUCCCUCUGCCUGUCCUGCACACAAAUACCUCUGUGGUGGGUUUCUGGUGGAAACAGCAGAAGGUGCUGGCUGCAUUCCACAUCUCAGCCAGAGCUAUGUAAAAACAAAACAGCAGGCCUGGGUCAGUGGCCCAACACAGACACUAAAUGAAUUUAGCAGAAGGCACAGCUCUGAUGCAGAGGAGAGUGUGAAAAUGCAAACCAUUGCAGAACCAUCCAAAGUUUUGGGGGUAUCUUUGUAUUUCCACAGGGUGUGGAAUAUGGAUUUGAACGGAUAUGUUUGAAAUCGUAAGGGAUGGGAGGCCCCCCACUGACAAAUGGGUUACAUACGGAUAGCUAACUGAGGCUUAGAAAGCCCCCAUGCCCUGAAAAUAAAUAUCAGUUCCCCCUCUGCAUCCCCUGCUGCUCUAACCUUGGGCUGGGGUUCAAAGAUUAAGACUCCAGUUUGUGUUUGGCAUGGGGUGGGCUGAUGACAUAUAUGAGAGAGAGACUGGGGAGGGGCUCAGAGUCCUUGGGGCCCAGUCUCUGACCCAGAGCAUAAACCCUGCUGCCAGAACUAGGUGUGAGGACAGAUGCACACGAACUUCUAAGGGACAGUGGGCUGGCAUUGCUGCCUGAGGUGGGAAGGGUCCAAGGACCUGGCCUGUGGCUAUGUCUGCAGACAGGCCUCAACUGGCUCCUGCUAUAAGGAGAGGAGAAGAGAGGGCAGGGAGCCAGGCAGAACUUGGCGAGGGACUCCGGAGAGGUAAUGAGACCAGGCUGGUAAACUCUGAUGAGGAGAAAGUCUGGAAUGCUGGGCCUGGGUGGGAUGGCAGUGCUGGCCUGGGCGCGGGGGUGAGGGGGCUGCCUCAGAGGCGGCCCUGAACAGUAGCCAAAGCUGGAGGAGGGGGAUGGCAGGAAGCAGGGAGGUAAAUUUGUCCCGCUGCCCACCUGGGCAGACUCAGGCCAUUAGGUUUCCCAGAGCAGCUGAGGGAUGCAUCUUGUCAGCUGCCAGAGUGGGGCGUGGCCCAGGGGAUGGCCAGGACCCGGCAGCUGCAGGCUCUUAGGCAAGUUCCUGCAGCUUUUCCUCGCUCUUCUAAAUGCUGGCUUCUCCAAGCCUCCCUUCUCCUUGCUGCCUCUUCUCAUCCUCUCUGCUUUCACUCCAAGGGUUGCAGCAGCCCCUCCGCCUGAUGACUUCCAGAUUGCCACCCCGACCUUGUAGCCAUCACCCUCGGGAUGGCCACAGACCCCUCAGAUUCAGAGGCCCCCAGCUCUGCUCCUCUCUGCAGCCCGAGGCACGAGGAGCUAGGGGAGGCUGGUCUCCUGUCUUUACCCCACUGCUUGUCUUCCCCCCACCAAGAAGAGAGCUAGACCUCAGGGGUAGGGUCAGACCAGUGGGUGGGCGCCGGGCAGAAUGUGAUCCCACACUUGCUGAGUGAGUCUCUGUGUCUCUGCAGAUGCUCUCUCCUCUUCCUUUUCCAUCGAAUCCGCGCUCCCCCUCUGCUACCUUCCACCCUCUUCCACCCAUGCUGCAGAAGUGGCAGGCUAAGCGAGGGCCAGAGGCUUGCUUCUGCGGGCUCUUUCCCCUCUGGAAGGUCGUUCGCAAGACCUGGCUGCAUCAGGCCUGUCCCACUUGUCCCACUUAAUGUGACGGGAUCCGGGGAUGUAGGUAGGGCCUUGGGGGGGAGAGGCCUCCUUGGGCCUUAAGACGUCCCAGGGAGGGCUCGACAUUAGUAGAGGGCAGAAGCCCAACCAACAACUCAGCGACCCAGUGUUCGGUGUUCGAUAUGGCUUCCCCAGAUCUCGGGGGGAGGGGCGAGUGGAGAGACAGGUGUCAGACCUUCCUGGGUCCCUCUGCCUAAUACAUUCAGCAGAGCCUCGUUCUGUCUUUAUUUCUAAACAUCUUCCCCCCUUCACAUCCGAUCCCCUUUUUGUGUUCCCUUUCUAAACUGCUUAGGAAGGACUUUCAGCUCACCGGGUUAUAAUUAUGACGCAGUUUUAUUUUUCUAAUAACGGCUACAACUGAGCUCUGUGCACCCCCCUCCCAGUGGGGAGUUAGGCACCUUUCAGGGGACCUUCGUCCAGUUUCUAAUGUUCAGAUGCUUUUGUUUAUAAAAGGAGUCUCGUUCUGGGUAAGACUUGGUGGUUUUAAAACUCAGGCUCAGAUUUGACUCCAAACUUUUUUCUUCCUCCACGAGCUGAAAGCAGAUGAUUCUGAGGCCCUAGGGGAGGGUGCAGCCACGAGAAGGAGGGAGGCUGGAUCCCUGAAUCACCAUGUGGAAGGUCCAGCCACCAGCCAGGAACACCCGCCACGUGAACAAGAAGGAAACUCCACUGUGUCACUGAGACUGGGGGCGUGUUACAGCAGCUGGGGCUCACUAACGGCAUCGGAAAAUGGGUGCUGAACCAAGUCGGUCUACGAGCCUGGACACAGCAUUGCCCUGUCCUAGUCCUCAGAUUCUUUGGCUAUGUGACAUGGGAAGCUCCGAGAGACCCUUCCUUCUGGGGGAAAGGAACAUUUUAGCUGUACACACACGCGCACUCACGCAUAAACGCACGCUCCUGCACUGGGCGCUGUUUCUGUAAGAACAGGCCUGGAAUGCCUUUCUGGAUACUGUUUCUCCCAAGCACCCAAAUGAGGACAGCGUUCCGGAACUUGUUUCUAACAGACGUCAGUAUAACAAAAACACACGCUACAGACCAAUAAAAAUGUGAUGACCAACUCCAGUGAUAAAAUGUGUUUGUUUAUAUGUAUUUUUAUAGCUUCCUUGAUAAUAAAAGGAAUUGUGUUCGAA